GAGAGAGGCAGACCGAGAGGGAGAGAGUGAGAAAGGUGUGCGUGUGUUAUGUGUUUUGUGUGUGUGGUAUAUGUUGGAGUAUGUAUUAGGGUUAGGUUUAGAGUGGGCCGAAAUUUUUUAAAAAAAGAGUGAGUGGGCCGAUUUUUAUUAAUUUGGGCUCAUGUUUUAAUUUGUUUGGGCCGAUUUUAUUUUACUUCUGCUGGGCUCUUUUUGUUUUAAAAUUGAUGGGUUUUUAUUUUAGUUGUGAAGGCUAAUUUUAUUUAAAUGCUUGGGCUAUUGUUUUAAAUAUAGGCCUACGAAUUUUGGCCUUAUUU
rnacentral:lncRNA from 1 species